UUUGAUUAUGUAAGUUGGCUAUCAUACAGACUGGAUAGUUAUGUCUAAACUGAUUCUGUGUCUGAAUUAUAGGGUGACUGUUGAUGAAAACGCGGUGUGCUCCAGUGAGCUGCCCAGCUCUACCCCUCUCUCACACUUGUCUGUCAUGGCACACUCAGAGAAUCUCAAAGUGGAGAACUGGGUGUCCUUUCUGGGGACAUUUCACAAUCUCAGUCAGCCCACAGACAGCGGUGACGGGGUGGAUGGUCAUAUGGAUGCUCUCGGCUCCUCCCUGUGUCUUCUGGUUGACCUCCAGCAGGUGAAGCUGCACAUAAACUGCCUCAAUGAGACGUGGGCUCGGUGGACCCUGGAUCUCAAAGAGGCCUGCCCCAGUCUGGAGAAAAUCAUGCUGUCUGCUGGUCGCAAUGUUGUGGAUUAUAAUAGGAGUGGCUGGAUUGAGUGUGGCCCAUUAGAGACAAGGGGAAUUGGCAUCCUGAAGAACGCACACAAAAACUGCAUUAUCAAACUGAGAGGGAUCAAAACCCCAGCACCCCAGGGAGUUUACCAGGGCCGACCUGUGAAUAUUACAAUCAGUGGGGUAGAUUGCAAAGAGGACUAUUUCUAGUUUGAACAUGGAAGAGUGUUUCGAGGACCAGAAAGGUGCUAAUUAAUUGAACACAGAGUGCGUUUAGAGCAACACCAUGCAACCAUUUGCCACUUUGUGAUGGUAUAUGGUCACAUGACGACAGUUCAACACAUUCCACCAGCAACCCAGGAUUUGCACUAUGUAGUACUGUAAUACCCCGUGGAAAUUAAGGAAAAGCUUUCACGGCAAGACAUUUUCUACUGUGUUGCCAGGAGACGCCAGUUAGCGUUUUUGCAAGCUGUUAUCAGUGGCAGUCCAUAAUUUUUUUUAAAGAAAAUGUUCACCACACAUUAAUGACAAACAAAAGAUACUUAAAUUAGCUUUAUUCAAUGUACAGCACUUUUUCUUUAUUCCGGAUUAAUCCAUCUAAUAGUUUAUUGAUGACAGGGACUGGAACUCAGGUAAUGGGGACUCGAGACUUGACUCGAAAACUGGUGACUCGAGAUUUGACUGGGACUCAAGUAGGGCUGGGCCGUAUGACGGUAUAUACCGUGCAACGGUAGAAAUGUGUCUACCGGGAGAGAUUUGCCUAUACCGUUUCAACCACGGUAUACUCUUAUUUUGAAAUCCACUCGAUUUAUUUUUUAGAUAAUGACCUCCAAACUAUACAUCAUCCGGCUUAUUAUACAGUUACUCGCCAAAACAAUAGAAGACAUUCCUCCAAAAUACCUCUUUAACGAUUUUGUGGCCGUUUCCUGAUUUCCGCUUUGAAAAAAUACUUCUUCAGGCAAAUAGAACUUUGAGGUUUCAGGUUUUGCGUAGCAACCCAUUACUUGCUGACUUCAAUGACUUUCCGUUAAGUUAAAUGACCAGACUACUUGCGGAAUGAUAUGAAAGACGGAAUUAGAAGCACAAUGUUGGCAAUGUUUACAGCAGUGAAUAUAAAGAAAUUACAGACCUGCAAACAUUGGGGGGGCCAUUCAAAUCAACUGAACUUUUUUGAACAUUUUGAAGGGCCGUAUAAUACGAUACCCAGUACAAUUUUUAAGCACAUGACCUGCAAGGAUUGUCAUGCCUACUUGUUGAGUAAUCCUCGACAGUUGUGAAAGAUUCCAUCUACUGAAAAAUAUGGACUGAAAAGUGUCUAGUGUAGCCAUUUAUACGCAGAUUCUGUUGCAUUUUUCUCAAUGAUGGUCAAAUAUUAGUAGUUAAAGAUGCACUAUUUCGAUAGUUUAGAUUUAUUUUCAGUAUUUCAAAGUGAAGGAGCUGUGGGAGCACAAGAACAGUGAGCGUCUAGCAGCGAUUAUCAUAGACAUAUAUGUCUAUGGCAAUUAUAGCCUUACUAUCGAGAUUCUAAGUAACAUGGAGACAAAACUUUUGUUGGUACUACACGUAGAUCGUAAACCCUUGAAUAUAAAAACGACUCAGUGAAAUCGGUUGAGAAACGUAAACGCUAAAGUGCUUUUUAUCCAGAAAAACCGCUGCUCCAUCGUUUACUUGCGUUUGUUUACAGGCUAGUCUUCACCUCACCUAUAUGGCGGUGACGUUGGCACGUUACAGCAACGGGCUGAAGCGGUCAAUGGGGCGUAUGUGUAAUGGCCAACUUCUUAAUUUUCUUAUUUAAAAUGUGGCCAUAUAAAACAAUGUUUUUCUAAUCAUUAUUGCGUAUGAAUAAACAUUGAAAAGAAAGUUUUAACACUUGAUUUAUCGUCUGAAAGUACAUUAAAGAACCACUGAAAGCCACAUAAGCACUGGACUAAAUGCCAC
ensembl:lncRNA